rnacentral:antisense_RNA from 1 species
AAUACAUAAUUCUGGGAAGGGGGGAAAAGUGCAUGCAACAUACAAAUUUACAAGUAAUGCAUGUAAAAUUAUAAUUCGACUAAAACUAUAAGUAAAUAAAUUAAAUAUCUAAACACUAUUACUCUCUUUCUUCAAUGGUGACUUUAUGAAAUAAUAUUAUAAGCUAAUUGAGUUAAUAUAUUAAUAUUUGAAGGGUGAGAAUGAAACGGCGCAAAUUGAGUAGAUUUCAUAAGGAUUGAAUGUUUCAGAAAGAACUGAUUUCAAGUGCUCAAUGCAGUAUUUAAUUGUGUUCUUCUGAAUAGAAAGCACGAAACCCUGAGUUUCAAAAGACUUGUCAUUUUCUAAAAUGCUGAUCGAAAUUUGGUGGACAACAUAGGCAGCAGUUUCAAUGCUGAAAAUGUUCAAUUUAUCAAUAGAAUCAUUUCUGCCCUUAAUAGGAUUGCUUCCUGAGUAUAAGCCAGAGAAAUUAUACUGACUAACCGAAUCCCCUCCCUCCAAUUUCUUUAAUAAAUUUCUAAAGCUAUCAUGAAAAACUCCAAAUAAUCUUAUUGACUCAAGCAUUCUAAGACCCUGAAUUUUGACAUUUUUACCAUAAUAAGUGAUUUCAACUCCCUCAAUUAUAAGCCUAUCAAUUUCUCUCUCAAGUUUGUUCUUAACUUGGUGUCUUAAACUAUAUUCUUUGUUGGAAUCAUUUAAUGAUAUGUUUACAGAAUCUAAGGGAUCUCCAUUAAGAUGGUCUUCGUAUAUAAAGUUAUAAAUGGUUUUGUUAAUAUAAUCUUUUAUAGGUUUAUCAUGUAAACCUGUCUUGGAACAUUGUAUAGCUGUGUUACAGAGAGAAGAAAUAAGCUUGGCAUUUAUUGGAGUUAAGUUAUGCUUAUGGAGAGAAAGUCCAAAAUUAGUUUUUGACGAAGCAUCUUCCUCAUAUAUGGUAGCUUCUGCAUUUGUAUCCAGAAUGUUUGAGAGUAAAGCAGCAAUUUUACACUUCUCGCCAAAGUUAUCUUUAAUAUUUCUAUAUCCAACUGUAAGUACAUAUAAGUUUAUCCCAAAAUGAAUUGAAGUUUCAAAAGAUGGAGUUCCUUCAGAAAAGUUUGAGAAUGCAUUAACCAAUUCGUAUAUGCAAUGAAGUUGUGAAAUAGCACCCUGAGGGAUACUAAAGUAAUUUACCAAAUAGUUAAUAAAAAGUGCAUUAUUUCUGAGUUGAGAAUUCAACUCUUUAUUUGGAGUAGAAAAGGUGAAUUCACAUAUCUCCUUAACUUUUGGAACUCCCAGAUCUUUGUUUCCAAUCGAAUUCAAAUAUUCUAAUGUUGUGGAUACGCAGCUCUCAACUAGAUAUGGAUAAUGUUCAAGUAAAGUUUCACGAGAGAAAAAAUAUCUUAGGCCAUAAACCUCAUCUGAAACUGGUUUAAAAUUGCUCAUAUCCUUGGAAGAAUCCUUUGAGUUAAUGAAUUCAUAUCUCAAUGAAUUUCCUAUGAAAGCAGAACUGCCUACAUCCGGAAUAUUCUCAUAAUUUGCGUAUAUUCGGGUAAAUAUUUGAACGAUACCUUCGCUUGUGAGCUCACCAAAAUAAUUUGAUUUUUGAAGGCUUCUAAUAUACUUUGAAAUGAAGAAUGGGAAAAACUUUGAUCCAUCUCCAAGUGUAUAACCUACAGUAAGAUUAGACCCAAUCGAGCUUGCCAUCGAAGCUUUUACAUUGUUAAAAAGAUCGGAUAAUGAAUUAUACCAAUCCUCUUCUGUAUUAGACUUCUUGGAGUAUGUCUUGAUCGCAAAUAAGAUGCUUUUUUCAAAGAAAUCAUCUUCGAGAACCAAAGAGACAUAUCUACAAAAGGAUUCUUUAUUUUUUUGUAUCUGAGAGUUUGUAAAAACUAAUUUAAAUUGGAAAUUCUCAAUACAAAUGUUAUAUUCUGAUUUAUAACUCUCAUUAAUCGUACUAUAUCUGCUUACAAAAGAAAAUAAUGGUAAUAAUCUUGCCUGGACCCCGAGAAUAGUAUAAGAACUUGCUGCAUACGCAUAGAUUCUUUUAAUCUUAUUAAUAGAAAACCCAUAACUAUCUGAUAAAACAUUCACAAGCUUUAAUAAAUAGGGAAUAUCUGAGAAUGGAGUUGGGUAUGAAUUAUCAAUUACAUUCUCGCAUAAUGAAGAUAAUGUAAAGAAUACUUUAUUCAAUUCCGGAUACCUCUUGACAAUAUCUAAAGCACAAUCUGAUGGAACAAAGCUGUUCGCCACAAUUGGAGAAAGCUCUGAAAUGGAAGGAACCAAAUCAUCUACACUUUUCUCAGAAAUAAGUUCCUUUGGAAGUGUUAAUGGCCUUUUAUUUCUACUAACUUCUGAAAUACUUGUUUGAUCUGUAAGUAGUAGGCCUAAUCUAACUAAGGAAGAGUACAACUUUUGUACUUUAAUUACAACUGUUGGAUCAUGUAUUUUGCCAGCUUUAUUUAUUACGGAAACUGGGGGUAAUAGCUUACUACUUGUAUUUAAAUCUUCUUUUGAAUCUUUAUUUUCCUUAUUUUUUUCUACAAUUUUUGUUAUGAACUUUACCCUUGGGAAAAAUUGAU